GUAUAGUAGUGCGUGUGCACAACAGUAAUUUCAUUACAUUCGAGUGGGUGUAAAAUCCUCUGCUGGCCGAAGCUAGCAAGAGGCCAAAGGUGCACAGGGUAUUGGAUGAAAGCCACCGACGUGCACUUGCCAGUUUCUGGCCAGCACAGAAGGCAACCAUUCGUAAUCAUUAAUGAUCCUUCCGCAGGUUCACCUACGGAAA
rnacentral:misc_RNA from 1 species